GACGAACGCUGGCGGCGUGCUUAACACAUGCAAGUCGAACGGCAAGGCCCUGCUUUUGUGGGGUGCUCGAGUGGCGAACGGGUGAGUAACACGUGAGUAACCUGCCCUUGACUUUGGGAUAACUUCAGGAAACUGGGGCUAAUACCGGAUAGGAGCUCCUGCUGCAUGGUGGGGGCUGGAAAGUUUCGGCGGUUGGGGAUGGACUCGCGGCUUAUCAGCUUGUUGGUGGGGUAGUGGCUCACCAAGGCUUUGACGGGUAGCCGGCAUGAGAGGGUGACCGGCGACAAUAGGACUGAGAUACGGCGCAGAGUGCUACGGGGGGCAGCAGUGGGGAGUAUUGCACAAUGGGCGGGAGCCUGAUGCAGCAACGCCGCGUGCGGGAAGAAGGCCUGCGGGUUGUAAACCGCUUUCGCCUGUGACGAAGCGUGAGUGACGGUAAUGGGUGAAGAAGCACCGGCUAACUACGUG
rnacentral:rRNA from 1 species